ACCAUGUGGAUAUCUCUUGAGGUUACUCUUGAGCUCUGUCCAAGUGGCGUAUGGGAGCAUAUAGCGCCGUAAGGUGCAGUGACGUAUAAUCCCCUUCCACAACAUUGGAGAACAAGCAUGUCCCCAGUCAUUCGGCUGGUGUGGGCAGCAUCCUGUAUAUUCCUACAACUUCCCAGAGCCCAUUGGGCAGUAUCUGGGGAGACAAACCAUACAGGAUACACUU
rnacentral:snoRNA from 1 species